rnacentral:lncRNA from 1 species
CGUUGGUCUAGCUUGUCGAUCGUUAGGGAGCCCUUCAACUCCUCGCUUUGAGUGGAGAUCAGAAAGCAUCGUCGGGCGAGUUGUUGGUCUCCGCGCAUCUCCUUGACUCCAUUUUUAGUCGGGAAUCGAACCAGGAGAUGGUCGUCGAGACAAUCGCCUUGAGGGCGUUUAGUCCGGGUCUUCCGAGUAUGGCGUUGUAGGCUGAGGGCACUUGGACGACCGUAAAAGUCAAAUGGACUAUGCUUUGUCGUGGUUCGGUGCCAACCGUCAUGGGCAAAGUAACUUCUCCUUCCAUUGUGACAGCAUCCCCAACAAAACCUAUCAAGGGUGUGGAGACCCUCUUGAGUCGGUCGGUCGAUAGUCGCAUCCGGG